CAGUCGCCACGGUAAUACGUAGGGUGCGAGCGUUAAUCGGAAUUACUGGGCGUAAAGCGGGCGCAGACGGUUACUUAAGCAGGAUGUGAAAUCCCCGGGCUCAACCUGGGAACUGCGUUCUGAACUGGGUGACUAGAGUGUGUCAGAGGGAGGUAGAAUUCCACGUGUAGCAGUGAAAUGCGUAAAGAUGUGGAGGAAUAUCGAUGGCGAAGGCAGCCUCCUGGGAUAACACUGACGUUCAUGCCCGAAAGCGUGGGUAGCAAACAGGAUUAGAUACCCCAGUAGUCCCUGUCUCUUAUAC
rnacentral:rRNA from 1 species